rnacentral:piRNA from 1 species
UGGGGAUAGUAAACUUAUCUUUGGGCACAGC